rnacentral:rRNA from 1 species
UACGUAGGGUGCAAGCGUUGUCCGGAAUUAUUGGGCGUAAAGAGCUCGUAGGCGGUUUGUCGCGUCGACUGUGAAAACCCGAGGCUUAACCUCGGGCCUGCAGUCGAUACGGGCAGACUAGAGUUCGGUAGGGGAGACUGGAAUUCCUGGUGUAGCGGUGAAAUGCGCAGAUAUCAGGAGGAACACCGGUGGCGAAGGCGGUUCUCUGGGCAUGAUCUGACGCUGAGGAGCGAAAGUGUGGGGAGCGAACAGG